rnacentral:sRNA from 1 species
AGAGUGAAGCGGGAGUGAGAGGGAGCUGGCUGGAGGACCAGGUGGACACGCUGACCUUCCAGAGCCAGUCUCUGCGGGACAGAGCCCGCCGCUUCGAAGAGGCCUUGAGGAAGAACACAGAGGAGCAGCUGGAGGUAGUUUCUGGAUUCCAGGCUUCCAGCCCCGCAGGGACCCUGCCCCAGCGAGGCCGAGGGACUCCCUCAGCAGUCUCGUCCCAAGACAAGGCCUCUCUGUGAAUCCGCUGCUGAAGUGACAGCUGGUCACGACCUCCCCUGGAUUUUUAAACAAUUCCUGUCAGCAGCUCUCCCCUGAGACAGACAGCAGCUGUGGGUUUCUCCAGCUACGUGUUAUUUUUGCCAAAUUCCACAGCAUUCCCCAGCUGGAGUCGUGGGGCUCCUAUGAUAAGCAUGGUCUGGAAACCCCCCUCCGCUGGCCUGACCACCCCUUCCAGCCCAUUCUCCGCAACUUUUUAAGCUGACAUGGGGCAGCCUUGGCUGCAGCAUGCGUUCAGUUGAGGGGAAUUUUUUCCAGAAAAGCUGGCAAAACUCCUUCCCUCUAACAUGGGGUUGCCAAAUAAAAUACAGGA